AUUGAACGCUGGCGGCAUGCCUUACACAUGCAAGUCGAACGGUAACAGGUCUUCGGACGCUGACGAGUGGCGAACGGGUGAGUAAUACAUCGGAACGUGCCCAGUCGUGGGGGAUAACUACUCGAAAGAGUAGCUAAUACCGCAUACGAUCUGAGGAUGAAAGCGGGGGACCUUCGGGCCUCGCGCGACUGGCGCGGCCGAUGGCAGAUUAGGUAGUUGGUGGGAUAAAAGCUUACCAAGCCGACGAUCUGUAGCUGGUCUGAGAGGACGACCAGCCACACUGGGACUGAGACACGGCCCAGACUCCUACGGGAGGCAGCAGUGGGGAGUUUUGGACAAUGGGCGAAAGCCUGAUCCAGCAAUGCCGCGUGCAGGAUGAAGGCCUUCGGGUUGUAAACUGCUUUUGUACGGAACGAAAAAGCUCCUUCUAAUACAGGGGGCCCAUGACGGUACCGUAAGAAUAAGCACCGGCUAACUACGUGCCAGCCGCCGCCGUAA
rnacentral:rRNA from 1 species